UGGAUCACCUCCUAACAGGGAGACAACAAAAUGUUUAAUAUUAUUAUUUUGUCACCUUAGGUCGAUCGGUAUCUCACGUUCUUAACUUAUUAAGAAUUUCAUUUCCUAAGUUUUUCUAGGUCACACCCAUUAUUUUCCUGGGCCAUUAGCUCAGGUGGUUAGAGCGCACCCCUGAUAAGGGUGAGGUCCCUGGUUCAAGUCCAGGAUGGCCCAUAUCUCUAUGUUGGGGGUAUAGCUCAGUUGGUAGAGCGCCUGCUUUGCAAGCAGGAUGUCAGCGGUUCGAGUCCGCUUACCUCCACUGAUUACCACCUCUUCCAUAAUCGGUAGAAAGGAAAUGUUUUGAGUUGUGAUCAAAUUCUGAACGAAUCUAGCUUCCUAAUGAAAUUAUUAAGAUGCUGGACUCAUUGAAUUAAUUUCAUUGUUUUCAGAGAACCUUGACAACUGCAUAGAUUAUUUUUUUAAAGACAAUAAGCAUCUUUAAUGAUGCAGAUUUAUUAUUUGUGCGAAUGCAUUAAUAACAAUUCUAUUAAGCUGAUGCUUCAAAAUUUUGAAGUUAUUGGUCAAGCUACAAAGGGCUCACGGAGGAUACCUAGGCACACAGAGGCGAUGAAGG
rnacentral:tRNA from 1 species